rnacentral:rRNA from 1 species
UACAGAGGUCUCGAGCGUUAGGCGGAAUCACUGGGCUUAAAGCGUGUGUAGGCGGGCCGUUAAGUGCCUUGUGAAAUCCCAUGGCUCAACCAUGGAACUGCUGGGCAUACUGGCGAUCUUGUGCCACCUAGGGGCGAGCGGAACAGAUGGUGGAGCGGUGAAAUGCGUAGAUAUCAUCUGGAACGCCAAUGGUGAAAACAGCUCGCUGGGGGUGUGCAGACGCUGAGACACGAAAGCCAGGGGAGCGAACGGG